GCCUACGGGGGGUAGCAGUGGGGAAUAUUGCGCAAUGGGCGAAAGCCUGACGCAGCGACGCCGCGUGAGGGAUGAAGGUCUUCGGAUCGUAAACCUCUGUCAGCAGGGAAGAACGGUCACUGUGCUAAUCAGCAGUGAAUUGACGGUACCUGCAAAGGAAGCACCGGCUAACUCCGUGCCAGCAGCCGCGGUAAUACGGAGGGUGCGAGCGUUAAUCGGAAUUACUGGGCGUAAAGCGCUCGUAGGCGGUAUGUCAAGUCAAGGGUGAAAUCCCCGCGCUCAACGUGGGCACUGCCUUUGAAACU
rnacentral:rRNA from 1 species